rnacentral:ncRNA from 1 species
AUAUUUAUUACAUAAACUUCGUAUAAUCUGGAAGAUAUGGUUCUGGAGUCUCUACCCUGUCACCGUAAAUGGCAGGACUAUGAUAGGAUGCUU